CCUGCCCCUGAGGUACUGCAGAUGUGGCUGCACUGCCACACGUGUGUCAGUAGGUGGCAGAGAGGAAAGAGGCUAUGUCUACACAGUGUUCUGACUAUGAAUAGCUAAAUGAUCAGUUGCCUAGUACU
ensembl:snoRNA Gm25613 small nucleolar RNA SNORA17